rfam:Gossypium raimondii Chr01_contig_17, whole genome shotgun sequence.
AGAUCAAAGGGCAUUUCAUACAUUUGUACUAAUAAAAACUGGUGCGGCUGACAAAAUAACUAGACAAUGACUCGUGGCAUGCCAUGUGUACCUUAUGUUGACGUAUAAGGACCAGUUUUUAAUAGUAAAAAUGAAUGGAAUUUUCAACA